GGAGGAGAACACGGGAACAUAGAGGGGUAGAGCUGUGGUCCAGGCAGGGAUGCAGCCAGGAAAGGGGACAGGCCAGAACAGGUAAUGCAACAAGAUGACUCCCAGAUAUCUCCUGAGCCCACCUAUGGUCAGGAAGAGGACCUUGGUGCUGUGCAGCAAGGAAGGAGGGGCCUGGGGCACCAGAGGAGUGGCAGUAGCACCAGACACAGGGUAACAGAAGAAACUUGAUGAUGAAACAGUAGUAAAUGGCUGGCCAGUGGUCACUGUCAAAUAAAAAACAAAUCUGGAUGGACAGAGCAAGGAGACACUUUGUUGUAGAGGAUUAUUGCAAAAUGGGAAAGGGGCUAUUGCAAUAAGGUAAUAUCCUAAGAUUAAGGCUCUAACCCUAAGAUCUGUAAGCCUCCCAAUAAUUAGAGGCAGACAGGGCUUUCUUCCAUAGAAAGGAGUAAACAAGCUAAAAGAACUAAGAUGAAAAUGUGGGAUGGGAGAUCAGAGGGUGUUUCCGGAGGAGGCUGGCCUCUUCCUGGGAGAUGCAGGCUGCUGGCUCAGGCUGAGGGCAGUUAACAUUCAGAGGUCUGUAGGAAGGAGAGAUGCUUGACCAACAUUCAGUUAGCAAGCAUUAUUGACCAGUGGGGCAAUCCGUUCAGUCCAUCAUGUAUGAGACAAAGGUUUGGAGGGUAUGUGUCUGGCUUUAUCAUAGGUUAACAAAGGAGCAUCUUACAUAAGUCAUAUGGGAAAGUGUCUUUUUGUACUAAAAGCAUCUUUUUGUAGAAAAAGAGUGGGGAUUUCUUUCACUGGUUUCUAGGGUCACAGGUCAGGUAAAUGUCAACAUUGUCAUGGGUGCUAUGGCUUGAGUGUGUCUUCCCAAUGGUUUGUAUGCUUGUUG
rnacentral:lncRNA from 1 species